UACGUAGGGGGCAAGCGUUGUCCGGAAUUAUUGGGCGUAAAGAGCGUGUAGGCGGCCAGAUAAGUCCGCUGUGAAAUCUCGAGGCUCAACUUCGAGCUGUCGAUGGAAACUAUCUGGCUAGAGUCCGGAAGAGGAGAAUGGAAUUCCUGGUGUAGCGGUGAAAUGCGCAGAUAUCAGGAAGAACACCAGUGGCGAAGGCGGCUCACUGGCCCGGUACUGACGCUGAGGUGCGAAAGCGUGGGGAGCAAACAGG
rnacentral:rRNA from 1 species